GACGAACGCUGGCGGCGUGCCUAAUACAUGCAAGUUGAGCGCUGAAGGUUGGUACUUGUACCAACUGGAUGAGCAGCGCACGGGUGAGUAACGCGUGGGGAAUCUGCCUUUGAGCGGGGGACAACAUUUGGAAACGAAUGCUAAUACCGCAUAAAAACUUUAAACACAAGUUUUAAGUUUGAAAGAUGCAAUUGCAUCACUCAAAGAUGAUCCCGCGUUGUAUUAGCUAGUUGGUGAGGUAAAGGCUCACCAAGGCGAUGAUACAUAGCCGACCUGAGAGGGUGAUCGGCCACAUUGGGACUGAGACACGGCCCAAACGCCUACGGGAGGCAGCAGUAGGGAAUCUUCGGCAAGGGACGAAAGUCUGACCGAGCAACGCCGCGGGAGGGAAGAAGGGUGUCGGAUCGGAAAACUCGGUUGGUAGGGAAGAACGUUGGUGAGAGUGGAAAGCUCAUCAAGUGACGGUAACUACCCAGAAAGGGACGGCUAACUACGUG
rnacentral:rRNA from 1 species